rnacentral:piRNA from 1 species
UGGCUUGUUUACUAGAACGCUCCUCUGGUU